rnacentral:rRNA from 1 species
UGGGGAAUAUUGCACAAUGGGCGCAAGCCUGAUGCAGCCAUGCCGCGUGUAUGAAGAAGGCCUUCGGGUUGUAAAGUACUUUCAGCGGGGAGGAAGGGAGUAAAGUUAAUACCUUUGCUCAUUGACGUUACCCGCAGAAGAAGCACCGGCUAACUCCGUGCCAGCAGCCGCGGUAAUACGGAGGGUGCAAGCGUUAAUCGGAAUUACUGGGCGUAAAGCGCACGCAGGCGGUUUGUUAAGUCAGAUGUGAAAUCCUCGGGCUCAACCUGGGAACUGCAUCUGAUACUGGCAAGCUUGAGUCUCGUAGAGGGGGGUAGAAUUCCAGGGGGAGCGGUGAAAUGCGUAGAGAUCUGGAGGAAUACCGGUGGCGAAGGCGGCCCCCUGGACGAAGACUGACGCUCAGGUGCGAUAGCGUGGGGAGCAAACAGG